rnacentral:rRNA from 1 species
CAGUAGCCGCGGGAAUACGAAGGGGGCUAGCGUUGUUCGGAAUUACUGGGCGUAAAGCGCACGUAGGCGGAUAUUUAAGUCAGGGGUGAAAUCCCGCAGCUCAACUGCGGAACUGCCUUUGAUACUGUCGAUCUGGAGUAUGGAAGAGGUGAGUGGAAUUCCGAGUGUAGAGGUGAAAUUCGUAGAUAUUCGGAGGAACACCAGUGGCGAAGGCGGCUCACUGGUCCAUUACUGACGCUGAGGUGCGAAAGCGUGGGGAGCAAACAGGAUUAGAUACCCCGGUAGUCCCUGUCUCUUAUAC